rnacentral:lncRNA from 1 species
UCCAAAGAAUCAAUCAACUUUUGCUCGCAUAAGUGGUUAUUGUGAACAGAAUGACAUUCAUUCUCCACACAUUACUGUUUAUGAGUCGCUGCUAUACUCAGCAUGGUUGCGUCUCUCUCCAGAUGUAAAAGAAUAUACACGGAAGGUGGGCUCUCAUUACUGUUUAUGAGUCGCUGCUAUACUCGGCAUGGUUGCGUCUCUCUCCAGAUGUAAAAGAAUAUACACGGAAGGUGGGCUCUCUUGUCUUACUUUGUGCUUCUGAAUAUCCUCUUGAAGAUUGUAGUCUCCAUGAAAGAACUCAACUUUAUUUUUCUGUUACAAACCCUGAUAGUUUUCGUAGAAAAGGAGGUCAACAAAUGACUUCAAUUUUGGUCUUGUUUUAGAAUU